rnacentral:rRNA from 1 species
GACGAACGCUGGCGGCGUGCCUAAUACAUGCAAGUAGAACGCUGAAGAGAGGAGCUUGCUCUUCUUGGAUGAGUUGCGAACGGGUGAGUAACGCGUAGGUAACCUGCCUUGUAGCGGGGGAUAACUAUUGGAAACGAUAGCUAAUACCGCAUAACAAUGGAUGACACAUGUCAUUUAUUUGAAAGGGGCAAUUGUUCCACUACAAGAUGGACCUGCGUUGUAUUAGCUAGUAGGUGAGGUAAUGGCUCACCUAGGCGACGAUACAUAGCCGACCUGAGAGGGUGAGCGGCCACACUGGGACUGAGACACGGCCCAGACGCCUACGGGAGGCAGCAGUAGGGAAUCUUCGGCAAGGGGGGCAACCCUGACCGAGCAACGCCGCGGGAGUGAAGAAGGUUUUCGGAUCGUAAAGCUCGGUUGUAAGUCAAGAACGGGGGUGAGAGUGGAAAGUUCACACUGUGACGGUAGCUUACCAGAAAGGGACGGCUAACUACGUG